UACGAAGGGGGCUAGCGUUGUUCGGAAUUACUGGGCGUAAAGCGCACGUAGGCGGAUUGCUAAGUCAGGGGUGAAAUCCUGGAGCUCAACUCCAGAACUGCCUUUGAUACUGGCGACCUUGAGUCCGGGAGAGGUGAGUGGAACUGCGAGUGUAGAGGUGAAAUUCGUAGAUAUUCGCAAGAACACCAGUGGCGAAGGCGGCUCACUGGCCCGGUACUGACGCUGAGGUGCGAAAGCGUGGGGAGCAAACAGG
rnacentral:rRNA from 1 species